rnacentral:rRNA from 1 species
UACGAAGGGGGCUAGCGUUGUUCGGAUUUACUGGGCGUAAAGCGCACGUAGGCGGAUCGUUAAGUCGGGGGUGAAAUCCUGGAGCUCAACUCCAGAACUGCCUUCGAUACUGGCGAUCUUGAGUCCGGAAGAGGUGAGUGGGAACUCCUAGUGUAGAGGUGGAAUUCGUAGAUAUUAGGAAGAACACCAGUGGCGAAGGCGGCUCACUGGUCCGGUACUGACGCUGAGGUGCGAAAGCGUGGGGGAGCAAACAGG